rnacentral:rRNA from 1 species
GACGAGCGGCGGACGGGUGAGUAAUGUCUGGGAAACUGCCUGAUGGAGGGGGAAACUACUGGAAACGGUAGCUAAUACCGCAUAACGUCGCAAGACCAAAGAGGGGGACCUUCGGGCCUCUUGCCAUUAGAUGUGCCCAGAUGGGAUUAGCUAGUAGGUGGGGUAACGGCUCACCUAGGCGACGAUCCCUAGCUGGUCUGAGAGGAUGACCAGCCACACUGGAACUGAGACACGGUCCAGACUCCUACGGGAGGCAGCAGUGGGGAAUAUUGCACAAUGGGCGCAAGCCUGAUGCAGCCAUGCCGCGUGUAUGAAGAAGGCCUUCGGGUUGUAAAGUACUUUCAGCGGGGAGGAAGGUGAUAAGGUUAAUAACCUUGUCGAUUGACGUUACCCGCAGAAGAAGCACCGGCUAACUCCGUGCCAGCAGCCGCGGUAAUACGGAGGGUGCAAGCGUUAAUCGGAAUUACUGGGCGUAAAGCGCACGCAGGCGGUCUGUCAAGUCGGAUGUGAAAUCCCCGGGCUCAACCUGGGAACUGCAUUCAAAACUGGCAGGCUAGAGUCUUGUAGAGGGGGGUAGAAUUCCAGGUGUAGCGGUGAAAAUGCGUAGAGAUCUGGAACGAAUACCGGUGGCGAAGGCGGCCCCCCUGGACAAAAGACUGACGCUCAGGUGCGAAAGCGUGGGGAGCAAACAGGAUUUAGAUACCCCUUGGUAGUCCACGCCGUAAACGAUGUCGACUUGGAGGGUUGUUUCCAUUGAGGAGUGGCCUUCCGGAGCUAAACGCGUUAAGUCCAACCGCCUUGGGGGAAACUGCCGCACGCCGAUGGAUAACAAAGCAUAAAACGGAA